CGUACAUGCUGCUUUUCGUCAGUUUUACAUGGCAGGAUUAUUCCUACUUUUAAUAAUAAAUGUUGUACUUCAAAGAAAAGUUCUAAGGUUUAAAAUAGCAGAAGAUUAGAGGUGUCAGUUCCGAGAAGAUUCAGAGAUUGGACGCUUUGGAGGCCUUGAAGCCUGGCUGCAUUUUUCUUUAACAGUUUAAGGUCAUCCUUGAUCCGAGUCUGGGUCAGCAUUUUCACAGCCUAACACAUAGCAGUCAAAGGAGGGCAUCUUCUGACUUUUGGGCAACAGUCAAGGAAAACCUUUGAUGAAGCGAGUGGAAUAUGUGGUAGCUGCAAGUGUCUGUUG